CCUUUGAGUUCACAUACGCUUCUAUGAGACCACAUGAUGUAGCUUCGCACCAUUAUAUAGGUGAACCCACAUCGUAUAAUUCUAUGAGACCACAUGAUGUAGGUUCGUACCAUCAUAAAGGUGAACCAAUGUUGUAUUAACAUGUGAUAAGCCUAGAUUAGGGUAUGUCUCGACAUGCAUGGUAACCUACCCAUGAUGUCACAUUUAUGAACAGUAUCCGUAUU
rnacentral:lncRNA from 1 species